AGUGAACGCUGGCGGUAGGCCUAACACAUGCAAGUCGAACGGCAGCACAGGAGAGCUUGCUCUCUGGGUGGCGAGUGGCGGACGGGUGAGGAAUACAUCGGAAUCUACCUUUUCGUGGGGGAUAACGUAGGGAAACUUACGCUAAUACCGCAUACGACCUACGGGUGAAAGUGGGGGACCGCAAGGCCUCACGCGAUUAGAUGAGCCGAUGUCCGAUUAGCUAGUUGGCGGGGUAAUGGCCCACCAAGGCGACGAUCGGUAGCAGGUCUGAGAGGAUGACAGACGACGCUGGAACUGAGACACGGUCCAGACUCCUACGGGAGGCAGCAGUUGGGAAUAUUGGACAAGGGGCGCAAGCCUGGUCCAGCCAUACCGCGUGGGUGAAGAAGGCCUUCGGGUUGUAAAGCCCUUUUGUUGGGAAAGAAAUCCUAUCGGUUAAUAACCGGUGGGGAUGACGGGACCCAAAGAAUAAGCACCGGCUAACUUCGUGCCAGCCGCCGCCGUAACAC
rnacentral:rRNA from 1 species